rnacentral:rRNA from 1 species
AUUGAACGCUGGCGGCAUGCUUUACACAUGCAAGUCGAACGGUAACAGCACUUCGGUGGCUGACGAGUGGCGAACGGGUGAGUAAUGUAUCGGAACGUGCCCAGUAGUGGGGGAUAACUACUCGAAAGAGUGGCUAAUACCGCAUGAGAUCUCUGGAUGAAAGCGGGGGACCGUAAGGCCUCGCGCUACUGGAGCGGCCGAUAUCAGAUUAGGUAGUUGGUGGGGUAAAGGCCUACCAAGCCUGCGAUCUGUAGCUGGUCUGAGAGGACGACCAGCCACACUGGGACUGAGACACGGCCCAGACUCCUACGGGAGGCAGCAGUGGGGAAUUUUGGACAAUGGGCGCAAGCCUGAUCCAGCAAUGCCGCGUGCAGGACGAAGGCCUUCGGGUUGUAAACGUGCUUUUGUUACGGAACGAAAGACCUUCUUCUAAUACAAGAGGGUCAUGACGGUACCGUAAGAAUAAGCACCGGCUAACUACGUGCCAGCA